rnacentral:rRNA from 1 species
UACGGGGGGGGCAAGCGUUGUUCGGAAUUACUAGGCGUAAAGGGCUCGUAGGCGGCCAACUAAGUCAGACGUGAAAUCCCUCGGCUUAACCGGGGAACUGCAUCUGAUACUGGAUGGCUCGAGUUUGGGAGAGGGAUGCGGAAUUCCAGGUGUAGCGGUGAAAUGCGUAGAUAUCUGGAGGAACACCCGUGGCGAAAGCGGCUCUCUGGGACGGUACGUGACGCUGAGACGCGAAAGCGUGGGGAGCAAACAGGG